rnacentral:rRNA from 1 species
UACAGAGGGUGCAAGCGUUGUCCGGAAUCACUGGGCGUAAAGGGCGCGUAGGCGGCCGGGUAAGUAGGAGGUGAAAUCUCACGGCUUAACUGUGAGGCUGCCUUCUAGACUGCCUGGCUGGAGCAUGGUAGAGGCUGGUGGAAUUCCCGAUGUAGCGGUGGAAUGCGUAGAGAUCGGGAAGAACAUCGGUGGCGAAGGCGGCCAGCUGGGCCAUUGCUGACGCUGAUGCGCGAAAGCGUGGGGAGCAAACAGGAUUAGAUACCCUGGUAGUCCACGCUGUAAACGAUGGGUACUAGGCGUCGGGGGGAGCGACCCCUUCGGUGCCGUCGCUAACGCAAUAAGUACCCCGCCUGGGGAGUACGGUCGCAAGACUGAA